UAAGUAGAUAUAGUUCUAGAUCCACAGAACUAAAAACGUUACAAAUGUACGAAGAAACACGAUGUUUCUUCACUGUUUUUAUCUCGCCUCACACACAACUAUCAAAACACCACCACUAACUAGCACUAAGCAAUAUCACAGCUAUACAUCAAGUGUAGUAUCAAAAAUCACUCAGAUUUACAGAAAUCAUUUUCACUCAGAAAAUCAGUGGUUUGAGAGAAAAAGGAAAAUCCUAGAAUUCACUCAGAAUCGAUCUCUCUGGAAGAAGGAAUGAGGCGUCAAAACGUUUUAAUCAGGUGAGUCAAGGGUCAUUCAUCAACGGUGAGAAGAUGGCCAGAUGUAUGGCCAGAUUAUAUCCACAAAGGAGGCAGAAGUCACAUUUCAAUAGAAUGCGUUUCUCUUUGCAAUUUGGAUCAGAAACAUUUCAGUAAACCCGGCCCAACAGCCUUAAAAGGGCGAAGAGUGUGAGGCACUAUUAUUUGGGCUCAACACAAUUGCAGAAUUGUAUGUAUGUGAAGAAGUUUACAUGUGUGGCUAGAAGGUUAGAACUUUGUUGUCUUUGAAGUUGCAUUGAUGGUUUCUCAAUAGGAUAUGAAUUUGUUUAGAGUGUUUCAAAUCCUUUUUUCCCCCUAUAUUACAAGUUAAUUUUAUUUUCUUCGAAUUUAAAAUACUUUGUUGGUAUUAACAGCCCAGAAAAAUCAAAUUAAUGAUGGGAAAUUAAAUAACACCAAGAACUUUUAACCGAAGGCCCGGAUGUUCACCCAAAAAGUGGCUAUUCACGACGUUGAGCAUCCACCAAAGUGGUUAUCACUCCAAUCUACUAGAAACCAGCAAAAAUUUAUCAG
rnacentral:lncRNA from 1 species